rnacentral:rRNA from 1 species
UGCAGUCGACGGCAGCACAGAGGAGCUUGCUCCUUGGGUGGCGAGUGGCGGACGGGUGAGGAAUACAUCGGAAUCUGCCUAUUUGUGGGGGAUAACGUAGGGAAACUUACGCUAAUACCGCAUACGACCUACGGGUGAAAGCGGAGGACCUUCGGGCUUCGCGCAGAUAGAUGAGCCGAUGUCGGAUUAGCUAGUUGGCGGGGUAAAGGCCCACCAAGGCGACGAUCCGUAGCUGGUCUGAGAGGAUGAUCAGCCACACUGGAACUGAGACACGGUCCAGACUCCUACGGGAGGCAGCAGUGGGGAAUAUUGGACAAUGGGCGCAAGCCUGAUCCAGCCAUGCCGCGUGGGUGAAGAAGGCCUUCGGGUUGUAAAGCCCUUUUGUUGGGAAAGAAAAGCAGUCGGUUAAUACCCGAUUGUUCUGACGGUACCCAAAGAAUAAGCACCGGCUAACUUCGUGCCAGCAGCCGCGGUAAUACGAAGGGUGCAAGCGUUACUCGGAAUUACUGGGCGUAAAGCGUGCGUAGGUGGUUUGUUAAGUCUGAUGUGAAAGCCCUGGGCUCAACCUGGGAAUUGCAUUGGAUACUGGCAGGCUAGAGUGCGGUAGAGGGUAGUGGAAUUCCCGGUGUAGCAGUGAAAUGCGUACAGAUCGGGGAGGAAAUCCGUGGCGAACGCGACUACCUGGACCAGCACUGACACUGAGGCACGAGAGCGUGG